rnacentral:lncRNA from 10 species
AGUGGUUAUUUUUCCUCAGCUAGAGGGAAGAACAAAGGAAUGGAGCCCAGAUGCACCAGAAUGGGGACCUGGUGGAAGAACUGAAAAAGCUGGGGAUCCGCUCCACCCUUUUAGAUGAAAAAAGAAAUAUGGAUGUGCCCAUAGCACACAUUACUCAGCUUUGAAACUGGCAGAUAAGGCUGUUGCCUUACAGAAGGGCAGAGAAACAUGAAGGAAUCAACCCAAGUCCAUGAGUGACUGAAUGAGUUGAGUAGGCCACCUAUGUGCUCUGGACUGUCAAGUGGAGAGAAACUUGACAAGUGAGUCUCACUCUGCUGCCCAGGCUAGAGUACAGUGGUAUGAUCUCAGCUCACCUCAACCUCCACCUCCCGGAUUCAAGCGACUCUCCUGCCUCAGCCUCCCAAGUAGCUGGGAUCACAGGCGUGCACCACCAUGCCUGGAUGAUUUUUGUAUUUUUAGUAGAGACUGGUUCUCACCAUGUUGGCCAGUGUGGUCUCGAACUCCUUACCUCAGGUGAUCCGCCUGCCUUGGCCUUCCAAAGUGCUGGGAUUAUAGGCAUGAGCCACCGCACCCGGCCAGCACUUACACUUAUACAUCAUGUAUUGUAAUUGCUCAUUUCCUUGUCUGUGUCUCCCAUUAGUCCCUCAGCUCUACAAGUUUGGGGAUUGUAUCAGUUUUUUCCACUGCUCUCUCAGUUUCGCUGACACACAAUAGAAAUUUAUUAAAUGUUUGUUGAUUAAAUGAAUAAAAUGGUGAGAGACUUCAAGCUUAGGUGCCUUGGGAGAGCCAUAACCAGACAGGAUUCCUCUGUUAAAGCUUAAUCUAUGAGCUGCUGACAAUUGUAAAGCCAGAGCCCCAAGGCCUGCGGUCACUUUCAGAUGAUGUCCCUUUCGGGAGGUGUCAGUGAAACCCACCUGCCCACCACCUUGCCUGUCUGUUUUCUGUGUGCUGUGUGGGCCAAGUAGUACUGGGAGGAGCAGCUUUAAAUCUGAAAGUGUCCUAUACAUUUUCCAAGCCUCUGUAGCAGUCACCAUUUUUCCCAAGCUAGCUUGUGUAAUAAUGCCUGGAGGCUAGUAAACAAUGAACAAUCCAAUACCUUUCAAAGCAUCCUGGAAGUACAAUAUUUGUGCUCCUUCUGUGGCAUGUAAAUAUGUCUUAUAUCAUGCAACAUGCUGCUUUUCUAAAUAUUCAUAAAAUCUUAUCUUAAAUUUCUUUUAUUUUAAUAAAAUGAAAAUCUCGGUCUGUCUUUGUGAGCAAAAUGAUGUUUCCACCAACAAAGCUACUGGAGCCA